rnacentral:lncRNA from 1 species
AAUUGGUUGACUUGGUUAUGGAGGCUGAAGAGUCUCAAGAUGUGCAGUUGGCAAGCAGGACAUCCAGAGGAGCUGGACCUCAAUUGAGUGCUUAGAAAAGUAGUGGCCACUACCACCACAGCUUCCACUUCCUGGCAGCCUCUUCCUGAGGACACUAGUGAGCACUGAGGAAAAUGUGGAGUCCAGAGCUGCCAGCACAGGUUGUCAAGUGCACCUGCCUCCUGAAGAUAGCUUCUCUUGUGUUUCAGGGGUUUCAACAAAGAAAUAGUGGCUACUCCUUUUCAAAAAUGGAAAGCAAGAGCAUAGAUAAUGAGAAUGCUCCUCACAGCCUGCCUGCUCCUCAGAAGUCAGAUACUGAACAUUUUGUUAUGUUAACUAAAAUGGGACAAGAGAGGAAAAAAAUGAAACUUCUCUUGGCAACUUGUGAUCAGGGAGGUGGUGUCAUGGCAAGAGCCCCAGGAUGCCCUGACUUUGUCACCUGUAUGACUUUGAAUAAACUUCUUGGCUUCUUAGGAUCUCAUGUUCAAAAUGAAUUAUGAAAUCUUCCCUAUAUGGGAUCUUAUGAAAAUAAUUUGAGGCUGGGUGUGGUGGCUCAUGCCUGUAAUCCCAGCACUUUGGGAGGUCAAGGUGGGUGGAUCAUCUGAGGUUAGGACUUUGAGGCCAGCCCGCACAUGGUGAAACUUUGUCUCUAUUAAAAAUACAAAAAUUAGCUGGAAAUAAUUGUGCACACCUGUAAUCCCUGCUGCUUGCUACUUGGGAGGCUGAGGCAGGAGAAUUGCUUGAACCUGGGAGGCAUAGGUUGCAGUGAACUGAAAUCAACAGAGCAAGACGCAAAAAAAAAAAAAAAAAAAGUGAAGUAACUUGUAGUAAAGUAAUUGUGUAUAAAUAAAAUACUUGAAUUAUUUAUUUUAUGCUAAAGACAUAACACAUUCUAAUAACUUAAAGUUAUAUUUUUAUUGCUUUGUUUUGUUUUUCUUUAAACAACUACUUCUUGUAGACCAAGUUUCUGCUUUGGUCCUCUCAAGUUCUUCUAGGUUUAUAUUCGAACAUAAGUACAUGUGUUCUCAUGGUUAGGUCCUGGCUACUGGCCUCCUCUGACACGGAUAACUUUGUAUGCUGCCUGCUAUGAGCUGAAUUGUGUUCUCUCAGAUUUUGUGUGUUUAAGUUCUAAUCCCUAGUCCUUCAGAAUGUUACUGCUUUUGUAUUUGGAGAUAGGGUCUUUAAAGUGGUAGUUGAGGUUUCAUAAGAUCAUUGGAGGGAGCUAAUCCAAUCUGACUGGCAUCUUUAUAAGAAGAGGAGAUUAGGACACAAACAUAGAAUAAAAGACCACGUGAAGACACGGAAAGAUGGGCGUCUGCAAGCCAACUGUGCUGACACCUUCGCUUCAGAUUUCUAUCCUCCAGGACUGUAAGAAAAUAAACUUCCAUUGUUUAAACCAUCUAGUCUGUGGUACUUCAUUAUGGCAGCCCUAGCAAACCAACACACUGCUCACGUAACAGACAUCAGCAAUCUGCCAGGAUAUACAUUUAUAGUCCACAGGAGGAAGUUUUGGAGGUAUCCACUUGUCUUGUUUUUUUCUAUCCUCUGUUGCUGGGACCACGCUGUACUUUUCUCUUUGAUAUAUCUGGUUUCUAUGCCAUCUUUUCAUUGAAACUUGAAAUAGGUCCAGUGAGUAAAAAGUCUACCAGCAUUAAAAAAGAUUUUUCCCUUGGCCAGGCAUGGUGGCACAUGCCUGUAAUCCCAGUACUUUGGGAGGCCGAGGUGGGUGGAUCACCUGAGGUCAGGAGUUCAAGACCAGCUUGGCCAACAUGGUGAAACCCUGUCUUUACUAAAUCUACAAAAAUUAGUUGAGUGUGGUGGCAGACACCUGUAAUUUCAGCUACUCUGGAG